rnacentral:rRNA from 1 species
UACGGGGGGGGCAAGCGUUGUUCGGAAUUACUGGGCGUAAAGGGCUUGUAGGUGGCCAACUAAGUCAGACGUGAAAUCCCUCGGCUUAACCGGGGAACUGCGUCUGAUACUGGAUGGCUUGAGUGUGGGAGAGGGAUGCGGAAUUCCAGGUGUAGCGGUGAAAUGCGUAGAUAUCUGGAGGAACACCGGUGGCGAAGGCGGCAUCCUGGACCGAGAUUGACGCUGAUGCGCGAAAGCUAGGGUAGCAAACGGG